rnacentral:lncRNA from 1 species
AUAAGUCAAUUGAGUGCCCAAAAAUCUAAACAAUGACUGCCAAAAUUUACUCAAAAAGAUCAUGUCGCCGUGUAUUGUGGUAGAUCGAGUCCAUCGUUCUUGUAUAGUUGUGAUUGAGGGUCUUGAUACUGUGAUUGAGGGUCUUGAUACUCGUGUGGUUUAUUUCUUCUAGACAUGGUCGAUUUCGAUGUUAUAUUGGGGAUUGAC